GCACUGCAACUCCCAGGUUUGCCUAGAAUGAAGGACUUCUGGGAAAUCCCAGAGCCCAGGGGAGGUCUCAGCCUCCAAGACAGGCAUGCUGGGAAGGGAAGCCGUGUAUACCAGCUCCUUUUCUGCUGUGUAAGAGAGAUCUGGCAGGGACAAGUUUUGCAGCAGGUCUGUCCAGGAGAGGCUUUGGAAGAAGCUUAAAGAGACAACCAGCUGGCUGAGUACCCAGAGGAGGAAGCAUGAUUUGGCUUGACAGCCAGACAUGGAGACAUCCCUAGAAGGAAGUUAAGGAAUAGUAGUAGAUCCAAGGGAAAUAGUCUUGGGGAGAGUUUGGGGGUGAACCUGAGUCCCCCUUUGCCUCCUGGUGCGGGGGCUCAAUGCUGGAAUUCCUGUUUGGUGCAGAUGGACACCUGGGGAUUGCUCUUGUAUCCUGAAGAGCUGGAGAAAUAAACACCUUUCAUUUGAUCUCUUUUUUCAUUUGGACUCCCCUUCACUAGAGUGGGUGGAGUUUUUCAGUUUGGCUGGAGAGCUGAGCGGGCGUGCCACACGGAAAACUGAAGAAACUGCCAUAUUUCACCGUGAGACGGUUGGCUGAAGACAUUACUUGUAUAGACCAGUAAGUGAAAAGCUGAAGUGCAUCUGAAUGUAAAAGCCAAAAUCAAUUUGAUUUUAAAUGAUUUCCAACUGAUUUUAAAAGGCAAUGGUGUGGAACUUAUGUGUAAGGUUAAAAGGCUUCAAUUUUAUUCCCGUCAGAUGAAGGUAAUGGAAAAGGCCAGUUGACAAAAUAAUAUACUAGUGUUACCACCUUAGAAACCCAGCCUCCCACACAGGAACAUGCAGAGUCCAGCUUUCUUGAUGAUGUAAAUUUUAGUUAAAGUUAAAUUGGG